CAAUAGCGUAUAUUAAAGUUGUUGCAGUUAAAAAGCUCGUAGUUGGAUUUCUGGUUGAAGCGACCGGUCGGGCGUUGAUUCGUCUGCACUGGAGUCGGUUUUGGCCAUCCUCUAGGAAAGUGCGUCUGGUAUUAAGUUAUCGGGCGUAUGAUCCUGGUCUUUUACUGUGAAAAAAUUAGAGUGUUUAAAGCAGGCCUUCGCCUUGAAUACAUUAGCAUGGAAUAAUAAGAUAGGACUUUGGUCUAUUUUGUUGGUUUGCAGACCGAAGUGAUGAUUAAUAGGGAUAGUUGGGGGUAUUUAUAUUCCGAUGUCAGAGGUGAAAUUCUUAGAUUUUCGGAAGAUAAACUUAUGCGAAAGCAUUUACCAAGGAUGUUUUCAUUA
rnacentral:rRNA from 1 species